rnacentral:pre_miRNA from 1 species
AUAGGAUCUAGACCUGGCAUAUCUUCAUACGACCAUGACAAAAAAUAUCCGGAUAUUCCCGGAGGAGUUGGAUGAUCUUUCUUUUUUAACCCCUUCCUCUAGAGCAGCACCGAUCUUGAUUUCUCGCUUGUUCUCCUCGGUACCUAUGUUGAUAAGCUCAAUCUCUUCCUGG